AACAGUGACACCAUGUAUUG
rnacentral:miRNA from 1 species